rnacentral:rRNA from 1 species
UACGAAGGGGGCUAGCGUUGUUCGGAAUUACUGGGCGUAAAGGGCUCGUAGGCGGCCAACUAAGUCGGAUGUGAAAUCCCCAGGCUUAACUUGGGAACUGCAUCCGAUACUGGAUGGCUUGAAUCCGGGAGAGGGAUGCGGAAUUCCAGGUGUAGCGGUGAAAUGCGUAGAUAUCUGGAGGAACACCGGUUGCGAAGGCGGCAUCCGGGACCGUCAUUGACGCUGAUGAGCGAAAGCCAGGGGAGCAAACGGG